CACUAACAGAAGCGGCGCUAACAGGAGCACCAGCAGCGUCCCCGCAUGAAUCAGAGCGGCAUCUAUUUCAGGUCCCUUGGAGGGACAAGAUAUGCCAGAUAUGUCCAGAUUGUGGAUCUGCUGAUCUUCAAGCAGAGAGGAGCAGUGGCACACAGCUGAGAACCAGGUGUCAAGAAUGAAAAUAAAGGGUCUGCAAAGCCCUGGUUGUUGGAGUCCCAAAGAACAGAAAUGGGAUGAGUAUGACCUACAUGGGAAGCUCAUGGCAGGAGUUAUGUGUUGUGGAAAUCCUGGCCCAGGGAAGGUGAGGAACGAGCAUAUAGGACUGUCCAAGGCUGACAGCCCAUCUGAAGAGGAUCCUGAGGCUUUCUCAGCUUCUCCUCAAACUCCAAAGUGUGUGGGUGUUUGACCAUCAGAACCCAAAUCCGUGAGCUGUGGUAGAUCUGAGAGAAGUGGUUUCUGACAGAUCUGAUGCCUUCAGUGCUUAUUUCUCCUUCCUUCUUCUUGCCCAGCCCGGGUGUUGUUGCAAGGUGUCUGUGAUGUUUCUCAGCAGUGUUUUUGAUAUUUGCCAGUAAUGCCUGUGCCUCGUUCAUGGUUUUGUUUGGGAGUGGCUUGCUGGAAUACUCUUACCUGAGAAAUGUCUCCUGUGGAAUAUUUGUUCUCUGUGAGGAGUUUGGUUUUUCCUUUUCUUUUAAAACCAGGUAUGCAGUGUAAGAGCAUGCAGAAAAUCUGUAUUUUGGCCAUGUUCUGUAAUAUUUACUUGAAAUUAUGUCCUGUAAAUAUUCUUGCCAAUAAACUUGAGAGUAUCGACAGAGAGAGCGAAGCUCUGUCAUGUGGUAUAGUAAGAAACUUUCUCAGCAUUGGGGUAUAAGGGAUCUACUAAAAUGUCUAGUUUCU